rnacentral:lncRNA from 1 species
CCUGCAUAGAUAGUUCUCACAAAAGUGUUUGGUGAUUUAAUCUCAAUGAUGUCAGAAACAGGAGCAACAUCAAGCUUAGCAGCCACUCUGGGAAUAAGAUUCUUCCCAAAGGCAGACGCUCCAGCACAAAUGUGGGUGUAUUUAAAUUGUUUCUGAGUUUCCAAAACCAAGGGAGUCAGCUCCUCUGCUAGGAAUCCCUUGUAGACAUCGUGCUGAGCCACAAGAACUUUUGCAACACCCUGCACCUUGCUGAGCUCUUGUGCUACCUUGUCACAACUGGUCCCAGCAACCAAACAGGAAACUUCACCUCCGAGACGUUUUGCCGCGGUGACUGCAUUGAGUGUAAUGGGUGUAAGAGUCUCAUUGUUGUGUUCUGCUAUGACCAAUGUACUCUGAAACCGGUGCAGCAGCGAUGCCGCCCUCCUCACUCCGCGCGCCGCCGCCGCCCGCAACAUGGCUCCGCCGCCCCGCUCCGCGCCGCUCUCGCGAGAGCCGCCG